rnacentral:misc_RNA from 1 species
GAUGAAGAACGUAGUGAAAUGCGAUAAGUAAUGUGAAUUGCAGAAUUCAGUGAAUCAUCGAAUCUUUGAACGCACAUUGCGCCCCUGGUAUUCCGGGGGGCAUGCCUGUUCGAGCGUCAUUUCACCACUCAAGCCUCGCUUGGUAUUGGGCAACGCGGUCCGCCGCGUGCCUCAAAUCGACCGGCUGGGUCUUCUGUCCCCUAAGCGUUGUGGAAACUAUUCGCUAAAGGGUGUUCGGGAGGCUACGCCGUAAAACAACCCCAUUUCUAAGGUUGACCUCGGAUCAGGUAGGGAUACCCGCUGAACUUAAGCAUAUCAAUAAGCGGAGGA